GAAAACAAAUAUACCACUAUUUUUUAUUUUGAAAUCGAAAAUUUUUUAGAGGUCGCUCAUAGCGCUCAAAGCUUUCCCUGUAUCUUAUAUGGG